GACGUAGGGCGCGAGCGUUGUCCGGAUUUAUUGGGCGUAAAGAGCUCGUAGGCGGCUUGUCGCGUCGACUGUGAAAUCCCGCGGCUCAACCCCGGGCCUGCAGCCGAUACGGGCGGACUAGAAUUCGGUAGGGGAGACUGGAAUUCCUGGUGUAGCGGUGAAAUGCGCAGAUAUCAGGAGGAACACCGGUGGCGAAGGCGGGUCUCUGGGCCGAUAUUGACGCUGAGGAGCGAAAGCGUGGGGAGCGAACAGG
rnacentral:rRNA from 1 species